rfam:Camelus ferus unplaced genomic scaffold scaffold2639, whole genome shotgun sequence.
CAAAAGGCUCUUUUCAGAGCCCCUCAGCUGUCACCAAGAAGGAGCUG